rnacentral:misc_RNA from 1 species
GAUGAAGAACGCAGCGAAAUGCGAUACGUAAUGUGAAUUGCAGAAUUCAGUGAAUCAUCGAGUCUUUGAACGCACAUUGCGCCCGCCAGUAUUCUGGCGGGCAUGCCUGUCCGAGCGUCAUUUCAACCCUCGAACCCCUCCGGGGGGUCGGCGUUGGGGAUCGGCCCUUUACGGGGCCGGCCCCGAAAUACAGUGGCGGUCUCGCCGCAGCCUCUCCUGCGCAGUAGUUUGCACACUCGCAUCGGGAGCGCGGCGCGUCCAAUGCCGUAAAACACCCAACUUUCUGAAAUGUUGACCUCGGAUCAGGUAGGAAUACCCGCUGAACUUAAGCAUAUCAAUAAGCGGAGGA